AAUCUGCUAUGUAUUCUAUGGUAUAACUUUGGUGUAGCGUUGGUACUGAAUGGCAAGAGACCACACAGAAGACCAGAAGACCAAUUUUAAUUGUACAAUGUGUUAGCAGAGGAGCUGCAAUUUAAUUCGGAAAGUAUGUAAGUCACAGAUAUUUUUUUUUACCAUUUAUGUGUGUAUUAUUAAAAAGUGAAGAAAAAAACCCAGAUAUGUGUAUUUAUACAUGCUACUUUCUUACUAACGCAAAUAAAGAUGACAGCUUGUUUGUAUGUUCUGUCUGUGUUAUUACUUAUACUAGUCACUAUGCCAACCAAAUACAGUCGUGUACAGGGACACAAACACAAAAAAAUAAACAAAUUGAUGUAAUGAUAGAAUAGCUCAACGGGUUAAAAGUAAUCUCUGAUAAUAUAAAUGAAUAUGUAUUGCACAGCUUAUUGUGUAUAUUUCGUACUCUGUGCACUGUGAUGUUUCAUUUCCUCUUUGUGCUAUGUUGUCUCCAAUGCUGUAACUUCACCCACUUAAAGGGUAACUUCACCCACUUAAAGGGGCACUGAACCUUCCAUAUGCAAAAAUAAACAAAAAACACUAUUUAGUAGAUAUACCCCCAAUUAAACCAUGUGUGCAUUUAAAAAUGCAUUUUUUCCACUGGGGGUAUAUCUAAAAACAGCUUUCAAAUGUGGCAGAUCUCUUGUCUGCAGUCUUUGCAAGCCAAACCUUUCUAACCCCGCCCAGACUUUCUCUGGUUGUCUAAUCACAAACUUCCCAAAGCAACUCAAUGAGAAGUAUUUGCAAGGCAGGAACUCUGGGCAAUUCCCUGCCUCAUGAGAUUAACUAAUUUGAGCUAAGCAAACCAGGAAUAACAGGAACAUUUGUCUGACUAACAGCCUUGGAAGUGUAACCAUGUUAUUAUAUAAAAGUUGUAAAAUUUAAAUAAUAGGGCACACUCUUCACAUAUAGCUCUAAAGUGCUUUAAGGGCCUGGAGCUUCCCUUUAAUGUGUGACACCACAUCAAAAGCCUGAAGAACUUCACUGCAGAGUACCUCUCAUAACUUGUUUCUGCCCCUUGUGUUCCCCUGAAUGAAUAGUGCAUUAAGGGUUUAGAGAAAUAUACAGUGUGAGCUUGUAUUCUUUCUUUAUUAAAAAAAUAUAUGGGGUGAGUAUAGACGGCUGCCCUCAGCAUCCAUUUAAUUCAGCAAGUUGUUUCCAUUUUAUCUAAAGAAAAAAUGCAAGAUACUUUGCACAUGCUGCUUGCACCUAUCCAACAGACUAAGACUGUGCAGAGGUAAUUGAAAAGGGCAGUGUUUCAAUGGAAACCUGGGAGCAUACAGAUUGGCUAAACCUUCUCAGUCAAAUCGGUCAUUCAGAAGUGCCUAUCUUUUGUUCUAGAAGUCAUGUAAAUGCAUAGUUUUUUAUGCUUUAUUGUUAAAUUGGUAAAAUCACCCUUUCGUGCACCAAUUACAGAACCUGUUCAACCCCCAUUGAUGUCAGGAUCAAGGUUUACUGGGUUUACUGAUGUCAGGAUCAGUCCUAUGUCCAAGUGCAGUAUAGUG
rnacentral:lncRNA from 1 species